rnacentral:lncRNA from 1 species
CACACAGCAAAGUAGAAGUUCUGCCUUUAAAUACAUAUUUAGUUCUAAAACGUAAUCUCAGUAAUUGUUUUAAAUUUUAAAUCUUAGGAUUCCAACAAACAACCCUCUCUGAAUUCUGAUACUUUCAAAAACUAGGACAAUCUAUAAAAUGAAAAUAGUCUGAGUCUCCAACUUAAGAUAAUAAGCCCCACCACCAGUUAUGCAGGAAUGUGUGAAUUUGGGCGCCAGUGAAGAGAGGGGUUGACUUUGAGCCAGUUUUUACUGAGUGAUCCGAUGCUGGACACCCCUGCACUCUGACACUUGGACCUCUUCCUGAAGCAUCACCUGUGGGAAUGGCCUCCAGAUGUGCCAGGUGUGUGUGGAGCAGAACCAUGAGGAAAGGAAGAUCCAUCCUGCACUGUGAGUUUAGCAUUUUCUUCAUUGUCUCCUGUUCAUCCCAUUGUCUGUCCACAUACCGCAUGGCCCACGCCACAUCUGCCUCCUUUCUGCACAACCACUUGGAAUACGAAAAGCCCCUCUACGCGGAGAAUGCCCAUGAGUUCAACCUCUGGUGCCAGGAUGGAGAGUGGAAAGAAUCAGGCUCUUCUCCCCAGAAUGCUGUGGCUGACAAAGAAAAUAUAGGAACAGGCGGUGAGGAGAAAGCUGGUCAGAGCAAAUAUCACACCGAAACAGGUCUGUUGAAAGCCCAAGGAGGUAUUGACCAAACCUAG